UCAGCAUCAGCAUUUCCUGGUGCACAGCAUACAGGUUCCACAUCUGUCCAUAGUGGGUUGGAGUCUCAGCUCUGUCUUCUCCAGCUCGGUGACCUAAGGCAAGAUUCUCAACUUCUGUCUGCCUGCUUCCUAGUCUGUACACUGGAAAUAGGAACUCCAGCCUUUCAGUUUGACAUUCAAAGUUGAGUCAGCACAGACAGAAUCUGGCAAGUGGAUCACUUAGAUCACAAGUCCUGCUGAACAGCCAUCGGUGCCCAUGACUUCCAGGUGUUUAGCACUGGACAAAGGAAGAUAAGGACAGGGUAGGAGUCUGUAGCCAAAUUCAGAAUUUGAGCAAACCCCACUGCUUUCCCAACAUUGACUCAACUGCCCUGAGAAGGAGGCCUAAGGUGGGGGAUCCACUUCCCGCCUGAAG